rnacentral:sRNA from 1 species
AUCUGUAGAGUCUUUAAUUCUCCACAGGCUGUCGGCGGGCAGCCCGUGUGAAUCCUUCGCACUGCCCAUCCGAGGUAGACCGCCA